rnacentral:lncRNA from 1 species
UGGAAAUUCUGAUUCAGGAACCUGGGUUGGGGUCCAGGAAUUUAUAAUUACCUCUGGCAGUUCUUAUCUGCAGCCAUUAUCAGAUAGGCAAGACCAAGACCAGGUGAUGCUGUGUGAGAAACACGCCCCAGAUCUCAGCGACUCAACAACUAAGCUCUGUCUUGGCAGUGGGUUUGGUUUGGGUUACUUCCCAGGGCCUCUGUCCUUUGAAGAAGACUCAGUGCUUCAGGUGGAGAAGUUUGUACAUAGUUUAUCAACAGGCUGGACUCUGAAUGCCUCAUGCUCACGGACCUGUCUGACUCAUCUCUGCUUCCCAAUGUACCAGGCACAGGACCAGGACUUGUCGAUUGCGACUCUGCUCUUUGUACUAAGAUUACACUCUGCUGGAGACGCAGAGCAAACUUGCCUCCAUAUACUUCCGGAGCCAGAAACCCAGGAGGGAUCAAGGCCCCGUCCACUUCCUCACCACCCUUUCCAUCUGCAAUUGGUCUGACAGACUCUACUGGAUGUUCCACCCUCACCUCUCCUUUUUAUUUUGUCCCUGGGGUGAUUUCUAACUGAUCUGCCCAUCAACCUUCACGUAGCCAGGGCUACUACCAACCCUCGUGCAAAUAAAAAAUGGCGAUUCUUCCUCAUGACCCUCUACCUCCAUCUGUCAGAUAAUUGUUGUAAUAAAUAUUCAAAUAUAUGAUGUCUACAAGGUGGUUGGUGGCCGUCGUGCGUCACGUCUUGUGUAGUAGUGCAAAGGGCACAGCCAUCUGUGGUGGCCCUUACGUGGCAGCCAGAGGGGUCUUUGUAAAACAAAAGUUUGAUUGUGACAACAUGGAUGGACCUAGAGGGCAUUAUGCUGAGUGAAAUAAGUCAGACUGACAAAGACAAAUACCAUAUGCACUGAAUUACAUAUGGAAUCUAAAGAAUAAAAUAAAUGAACAAACAAAACAGCAACAGACUCAUAGAUGCAGAGAACACUUGGAUGGUUGCCAGAUGGCGAGGGCGUCAGGGGACAUGGUGAAAAAGGUGAAGGCAUUAGAUGUACAAAUUGAUUGUUACAAAAUAGUCAUGGGGAUGUGAAGUACAGCAUAGGGAAUAUAGUCAAUAAUAUGUGGUAAUAACUAUGUAUAGUGCCAGGUGGGUACUACCCUGUUUCCCCAAAAAUGAGACCUAGCUGGACAAUCAGCUUUA